rnacentral:rRNA from 1 species
AGGGCGUGCGGUGGAUGCCUAGGCGCCGAGAGGCGAUGAAGGACGUGGGUGGCUGCGAAAAGCCUCGGGGAGCCGCCAACCAGGCUUUGAUCCGGGGAUGUCCGAAUGGGGAAACCCGACGCGGGUAAUGCCGCGUCAUCCCGUGCUGAAUUCAUAGGUGCGGGAGGCGAACCAGGGGAAGUGAAACAUCUCAGUACCCUGAGGAAAAGAAAACAACCGUGAUUCCGUGAGUAGUGGCGAGCGAAAGCGGAAGAGGCCAAACCGUCGGACGCAAGUCCGGCGGGGUAGUGGGGCCGCGUACGGUACCGAGGUCCUGUAGCCGAACCCGUCUGGAAAGUCGGGCCAUAGAGGGUGACAGCCCCGUAGGCGAAACGGGAGUUCGGGCCAGCGGGAACCCCAAGUAGGGCGGGACACGUGAAAUCCUGUCCGAAUCUGCCGGGACCAUCCGGUAAGCCUAAAUACUCCUCGGCGACCGAUAGUGAACGAGUACCGCGAGGGAACGGUGAAAAGAACCCCGGCGAGGGGAGUUAAAAGAACCUGAAACCGCACGUCUACAAGCAGUUCGAGCGCUAUGCCCGCAAGGGAAUGCGCGAGAGCGUACCUUUUGCAUCAUGAUCCGGCGACUUGAUGUGCGUGGCGAGCUUAAGCCGUUAGGUGUAGGCGUAGCGAAAGCGAGUCCGAAAUGGGCGUCAAGUCGCGCGCAUCAUAACCCGAAGCCAGGUGAUCUACCCAUGGCCAGGGUGAAGCGCGGGUAAAACCGCGUGGAGGCCCGAACCCGUGGAGGUUGAAAACUUCUGGGAUGAGCUGUGGGUAGGGGUGAAAGGCCAAUCAAACCUGGUGAUAGCUGGUUCUCCCCGAAAGCUAUUUAGGUAGCGCCUCGAGGCUUCGGUCCUGGAGGUAGAGCACUGGAACGGCUAGGGGCCCUACCAGGUUACCAAACCGUACCAAACUCCGAAUGCCAGGAACCGUGACCUCGGGAGGCAGACGGUCGGUGAUAACGUCGAUCGUCGAGAGGGAAACAACCCAGACCGCCAGCUAAGGCCCCAAAUUCUGCACUAAGUGACGGAAAGGAAGUGGCAGGACCUAGACAACCAGGAGGUUGGCUUAGAAGCAGCCAUCCUUUAAAGAAAGCGUAAUAGCUCACUGGUCGAGUCAGGCCGCGCCGAAAAUGUACCGGGGCUCAAGUGCAGAGCCGAAGCUGCGGCUGCAAGCGCGAGCUUGCGGGGUAGGGGAGCGUCCCAGCGCCGGUGAAGCCGUACCGCAAGGAGCGGUGGAGGUUCUGGGAGUGCUGAUGCCGGAAUGAGUAGCGAUAAGACAGGUGAGAACCCUGUCCGCCGAAAGCCCAAGGUUUCCUGGGGAAGGUCGAUCCGCCCAGGGUUAGCCGGGACCUAAGCCGAGGCCGAAAGGCGUAGGCGAUGGACAGUGGGUUAAUAUUCCCACGCCGCCCGUCACGCGUUGAAGCGAGCGGGGACGGAGGAGGGUAGCCGGGCCAGGUGCUGGACGUCCUGGUUUGCCUGUGUAGGCGGGGGUCAUGCGAUCAAAAGGUGGCCCCGAUAACGCUGAGGCAGGUGACGAGGCCGCAAGGCCGAAGUUGGUGAUCCCAUGCUCCCGAGAAAAGCCGCGCGUGGAGCGUGACAGGCGCCCGUACCGGAAACCGACACAGGUGGGCGAGGAGAGAAUCCUAAGGCGCUUGAGAGAACCCUGGUCAAGGAACUAGGCAAAUUGCCACCGUAACUUCGGGAGAAGGUGGGCCCGCGUACCGUGAAGGACCUUGCGUCCCGAGCGGGAACGGGCCGCAGAGACCAGGCGGUGCCGACUGUUUAUCAAAAACACAGGACUCUGCAAACACGUCAAGUGGACGUAUAGGGUCUGACGCCUGCCCGGUGCCGGAAGGUUAAGGGGAUCCGUCAGCGCAAGCGAAGCGGUGAACCGAAGCCCCGGUAAACGGCGGCCGUAACUAUAACGGUCCUAAGGUAGCGAAAUUCCUUGUCGGGUAAGUUCCGACCUGCACGAAAGGCGUAACGAGCGCCGCACUGUCUCGACCAGGGACUCAGCGAAAUUGAAAUAGCUGUGAAGAUGCAGUUUACCCGCAGCAAGACGGAAAGACCCCGUGAACCUUUACUACAACUUGCCAGUGGCACUAGGGUUCGUCUGUGUAGGAUAGGUGGGAGGCGAUGAAGCAGGGCCGCCAGGCUCUGUGGAGCCGACGGUGAAAUACCACCCUGGCGGAUUCUGGUGCCUAACUGACCGCCGUGAUCCGGUGGCAGGACACUGGCUGGUGGGUAGUUUGACUGGGGCGGUCGCCUCCCAAAAGGUAACGGAGGCGCGCGAAGGUACCCUCAGCCCGAUUGGAAACCGGGCGUCGAGUGCAAAGGCAUAAGGGUGCUUGACUGCGAGACCGACGGGUCGAGCAGGUGGGAAACCAGGCCUUAGUGAUCCGGUGGUUCCGCAUGGAAGGGCCAUCGCUCAACGGAUAAAAGGUACUCCGGGGAUAACAGGCUUAUCUCCCCCAAGAGUUCACAUCGACGGGGAGGUUUGGCACCUCGAUGUCGGCUCAUCGCAUCCUGGGGCUG